rnacentral:rRNA from 1 species
UACGUAGGGUGCAAGCGUUAUUCGGAAUUACUGGGCGUAAAGCGUGCGCAGGCGGUUAUUCAAGACAGAUGUGAAAUCCCCGGGCUUAACCUGGGAACUGCAUUUGUGACUGCAUAGCUGGAGUACGGUAGAGGGGGAUGGAAUUCCGCGUGUAGCAGUGAAAUGCGUAGAUAUGCGGAGGAACACCGAUGGCGAAGGCAGUCCCCUGGACCUGUACUGACGCUCAUGCACGAAAGCGUGGGGAGCAAACAGG